CUAAGUUAAAAGUCAUAUAAUUGUUUUAUUGUAAAUUUCUAGAUGACAAGAAACAUCUUGAGAAAAUAAAAGAAGGAACUCAGGAGAACAAACCCAUACAUUUCAGGAUGCAUCAAUCCUGUUCCAGCAAACUAUUUUCAAGGCAAACAAAUUUACUCCUAAAAAGAGCACCAGCUUCAUCAUCUGAUUCAGCAACAGAAAGGCAGUCACCACCUGCCACAUCACUAAAUACUACAGGGAAAAGAGAAGCAGUUCAUAAACGAUGUUGAUGAGUUGAGAUCAGAAGAUAAGAAACUCUGCAAAAAAAU